rnacentral:rRNA from 1 species
CGGCGUGCCUAUCGAAAAAUGAGUCUGCGAGUCAGUGGUGCGUGGCGAGGCUAACCCGUGGUGGGGGAGCCGUAGCGAAGGCGAGUCUCAAAAGGCGUUUUGAGUCGCGCGCCCUGGACCCGAAGCGGGAUGAUCUAGCCCUGGGCAGGUUGAAGCGCGGGUAAGACCGCGUGGAGGACCGAACCCACCUGGGUUGAAAACCGGGGGGAUGACCUGGGGCUAGGGGUGAAAGGCCAAUCAAAUUCCGUGAUAGCUGGUUCUCUCCGAAAUGCAUUUAGGUGCAGCGUCGGUUGAUUGCAUCGCGGGGGUAGAGCUACUGGAUGCUUGCGGGCCCGUGUCGGGUACCAAUAGCAGCCAAACUCCGAAUACCGUGGAUGUGUAUUCCGGCAGUGAGUCGGCGGGGGAUAAGCUCCGUCGUCGAGAGGGAGACAGCCCAGAUCGUCGUCUAAGGUCCCGAAGCGUGUGCUAAGUGGGAAAGGAUGUGGAGUCGCAUAGACAGCCAGGAGGUUGGCUCAGAAGCAGCCAUCCUUGAAAGAGUGCGUAACAGCUCACUGGUCUAGUGGUUCCGCGCCGACAAUGUAGCGGGGCUCAAGCACACCACCGAAGACGCGGCAGCGGCCGUAUGGCCGUUGGGUAGGAGAGCGUCCCGCGUGGGGCGAAGCGGCCGGGGAACCGUGCCGUGGACCGCGCGGGAGUGAGAAUGCAGACAUGAGUAGCGAGAGACGGGUGAGGAUCCCGUCCGCUGGAUGACCAAGGGUUCCGGGGCCACGUUCGUCGUCCCCGGGUGAGUCGGGUCCUAAGGCGAGGCCGACAGGCGUAGUCGAAUGGAUGAACGGGUGGAUAUUCCCGUACCGGCGGCGUACCGUAAGAGCCGAACGGAUGAGUACUAACCUCCGGUCGCGUGGCGUCGUUCCCUUCGGGGUUCGGGGCGCGUGGCUGUUGGGAGCGUAGUCCCGGUAGGCUAGCGCACAGGGGUGACACGGAAUGGGAGCCGGCCGCGGAGGUGGUUUUCCGUGGUCAAGCACGCAGCCCGUCCCAUAGGCAAAUCCGUGGGACGCACAGGGUGAGGUGUGAUGAUGGGCGCCUUUUUGGCGCGAUAUCCGGUGGUCCAGGCCGUCGAGAAAAGCCUCGGCGCGAGGGGCGUCGCCGCCCGUACCCCAAACCGACACUGGUGGUCAGGUAGAGAAUACCAAGGCGAUCGAGCGAAUCCUGGUCAAGGAACUCGGCAAAUCACUCCCGUGCCUUCGGUAUAAGGGAGACCCCCGGGCGUGAAGAGGCUUGCCCUCGGAGCGUUGGGGGGUGGCACAGACCAGGGGGUAGCGACUGUUUACCAAAAACACAGGUGCAUGCGAAGGCGCAAGCCGCUGUAUAUGCACUGACGCCUGCCCGGUGCCGGAAGGUUAAGAGGAUCCGUCAGCCCCUUUUGGGGUGAAGCGGUGAAUUCAAGCCCCGGUAAACGGCGGUGGUAACUAUAACCAUCCUAAGGUAGCGAAAUUCCUUGUCGGGUAAGUUCCGACCUGCACGAAUGGCGUAACGACUUCCCCACUGUCUCGACCAGGAGCUCGGCGAAAUUGCAGUACGAGUAAAGAUGCUCGUUAAGCGCAGAAGGACGAAAAGACCCCGGGACCUUUACUAUACCUUGGUAUUGGCGUUAGGCGCGGAUUGUGUAGCAUAGGCGGGAGGCUUCGAAGCAUGGGCGCCAGCCCGUGUGGAGCCGCAAGGUGAAAUACCGCUCUGUUCUCGUUUGACGUCUAACCUCGAACAGUCAUCCUGUUCAGGGACAGUGCCUGGCGGGUAGUUUAACUGGGGCGGUUGCCUCCCAAAGAGUAACGGAGGCGCUCAAAGGUCCGCUCAGCCCGGUUGGCAAUCGGGUUUCGAGUGUAAUCGCACAAGCGGGCUUGACUGCGAGAACGACGGUUCGGGCAGGGACGAAAGUCGGAGAUAGUGAUCCGGUGCCGGCGCACGGGCGCGGCAUCGCUCAACGGAUAAAAGGUACCCCGGGGAUAACAGGCUGAUCAUUCCCAAGAGUCCAUAUCGACGGGAUGGUUUGGCACCUCGAUGUCGGCUCGUCGCAUCCUGGGGCUGGAGCAGGUCCCAAGGGUUCGGCUGUUCGCCGAUUAAAGCGGCACGCGAGCUGGGUUCAGAACGUCGUGAGACAGUUUGGUCUCUAUCCUCUGCGCUCGUUGGAAUCCUGAGGAGGCCUGCCCAUAGUACGAGAGGACCUGGGUGGACGGACCUCUGGUAUGCCGGUUGUCGCGCCAGCGGCAUGGCCGGUUGGCUACGUUCGGGAGGGAUAACCGCUGAAAGCAUCUAAGCGGGAAGCCUGCUCCAAGAUUAGGAUUCCUUGACGCUCCCCGGAGCGCCUGUAGCCCGCAUGUUGAACACGUGUUCGAUAGGCCGGAGGUGGAAGCCCCGCGAGGGGUGGAGCCGACCGGUACUAACGGGCGA